AAAUAAAGCUCUGUAUAUCAGCAUACCUCGAGAUCAUUGACCUUCUCACGGCAGGCUGCCAUGUUGCUGAUUAAGAUGGAGUCACCGGCAACACCCUCAACACACACGGAUUCCUGGAAUCAGUCAC